CUGAACUGUUCUGGAGAAAGACACAGAGGAAUGAAGUGGUUUCUAUGGCCACAUCACUUGGUGGCAGAACAAACUAAAUUAUAGCUCUACCCUGGGCAUGAUGAACUCCAAUACGGAGUAAAUGUGCCUUUGCUGCCUGCCAGCUGCCAGCUUCCACUUCCUCCCCACAAGACAAAUGCAUAUGAAGACGGUAUGCGCUCGUCUGGCCUCAUUUAGGUUUUUGUUAGUCAUCCCUGCUGUCGCUGGCCUGUGACCUUGGAAGGACUAUUUGAGCAGCUUGAAUGGAGUGAUCAGCAGAAGAAAGAAGAAAUUUGAACACACAAAGGACAAGUGCAGAGACAGAGGGAUGACCAUGUGAGGACACGGCAAAGAAGCCAACAUAACACAGAGACUGAGACUCUGAGGAAUGUGAUAUGGAGAUGGAAAAAUGGGGUAAGCCUUGGGCUGCAUGGUAGCAAUUUCUCUAGCAGAUCCUAGCAGAAGAAUCCAUCUCACCCUUCUGAGAUCUAUGAAUCCAACUCCCAUCAGGCUAUCUCUGAGGACCUCCAUUUGAGAUUAUUGCACUAGAAUCAAAUGUGUGCAACAAGUUAGCUGGUUAGAAAGCCUGGUUAUGGUUUUAAUGACUGCUAUGCGGAGGUGCUGCCUUGUUAGUCUUUAUAGCAACACCAUGAGGUGAGCUGAUUUAAUACUACA
rnacentral:lncRNA from 1 species